GACCUUUUUUUUUUUCGAAAAAAAAAAUAUGUCUCAGAUAUAUAUACAAGAUUCAGUUGUGUCUGAAGCAAUCGUCAACAUCAAGUUAUCGGCAAGCAAACCAUAUAGAUGUUUCUACCUGUAAGGAGUGAACUACUUAUAGUGAUGGUAUCAAUAAAUGGAGUGUUCUGGUCAGCAGAUAGCACUCAAUGUUCAGAGGACGAGACUUUGGAAGGAGGGCAGUGCAAACCUUGUCCAGACAAUCAUGAUAGGUGUCUCCCGGGAAGGGUAAAGAGCUGCAAGACGAAGGAAUGGUUCACCGUAGACAAGUGCUCGCGUUGCAGGACGUGCCGCACAUGCUCAGAGUGCGGGUUGGGGGUCAACCUCUACUUAGAUUUCCAGGCUGCCCCAUGCACUGACCACUCGGACACGGUCUGUUGUGAGGAAGAAAACAUGGACAACGUAGGGGGUCAGUGUGUCCACAGAGCCAAAACAACAGCGCCCUUGGUGGCUCCGAUCGAGACGUCAGACACUUCCACUGCACAUUUUCAAACCGACUUUCUAGAAGGGAAUGAACCCGAAACAGAAUUUUCCAGAAAUAUUGGCGCUUUUGAUUUUGCAACCCAUUAUCAGAUGUUUUUGCUUAAUAUUGUAUCAGCUGCAAUUUUUUGUUACGGAUAAAUAGAUUUAUCUAAUUUCUAAGAUAUUAUCAUUAUAUGUUUUUGUCUAUCUGGCUCUGUAUAAGCUGGUACAAAUGUUAUAUAUAAUACGUUUUUUAUACAAAAAAUCACAUUUUUGCUUUCCCUUGCUACAACUACACCGCGUUGCAUGAUCCUGGGAUGGCAGGUGUGCUGGUCACACAUUUUAUCGCCCUCCCUGGCGUAGUUUUAAGAAGAAAUUUUUUAAUGAAGCUAUCGCAGAUUUGUAAUCGGAGUUUUUUAUUCUGUUUCAAAGUUAAAUAUCAAUUGAAGAAUGAGGCAUCAAAAAUGCAUUUAAAGUAAGAGGACCAUACCAUAUUUCUUAUCUUAUAAAAUACUGACGAUACUUCAAAAAGGAAUAAAAUUCCGUCCUACGA